rnacentral:rRNA from 1 species
UACGGAGGAUGCAAGCGUUGUUCGGAAUCACUGGGCUUAAAGAGCGUGUAGGUGGGGUGUCAGGCGUCGGGUGAAAUCCCUCGGCUCAACCGAGGAACUGCCUGGCGAACCGACAUUCUUGAGGCAGGUAGAGGUGGCUGGAACGACGGGUGGAGCGGUGAAAUGCGUAGAUAUCCGUUGGAACGCCGGCGGCGAAAGCGAGCCACUGGGCCUGUCCUGACACUGAGACGCGAAAGCGUGGGGAGCAAACAGGAUUAGAUACCCUGGUAGUCCACGCCGUAAACGAUGCGCACUAGGUAUGAAAGGUUUUAACGCCCUUCGUGCCGGAGCAAAAGUGCUAAGUGCGCCGCCUGGGGAGUACGGCCGCAAGGCUAAA